UACAGAGGGGCAAGCGUUAUUCGGAAUUAUUGGCGUAAAGGGCGCGUAGGCGGCUUGGCAAGUGGAAGGUGAAAUCCCUCGGCUUAACCGAGGAACUGCCCUCCAAACUGCUUUGCUUGAGGCCGGAGAGGCGAGUGGAAUUCCGUGGUGUAGCGGUGAAAUGCGCAGAUAUCAGGAGGAACACCAUUGCGAAAGGCAGACUCCGCUGGGACGUUACUGACGCUGGAGACGCGAAGCCGUGGGGAGCAAACAGG
rnacentral:rRNA from 1 species